AUUGAACGCUGGCGGCAGGCCUAACACAUGCAAGUCGAACGAGUGGCGGACGGGUGAGUAAUGUCUGGGAAACUGCCUGAUGGAGGGGGAUAACUACGGGAACCGGUAGCUAAUACCGCGUACCAUGAGAUGUGCCCAGAUGGGAUUAGCUGGUUGGUGGGGUAACGGCUCACCAAGGCGCCGAUCCCUAGCUGGUCUGAGAGGAUGACCAGCCACCCGGGAACUGAGACACGGUCCAGACUCCUACGGGAGGCAGCAGUGGGGAAUAUUGCGCAAUGGGCGCAAGCCUGAUGCAGCCAUGCCGCGUGUAUGAAGAAGGCCUUCGGGUUGUAAAGUACUUUCAGCGGGGAGGCGUUACCCGCAGAAGAAGCACCGGCUAACUCCGUGCCAGCAGCCGCGGUAAUUC
rnacentral:rRNA from 1 species